AACAUAUAGUGGGGUUAGGGUCUGAAAAAACUCAUAAAGUUUGUGCUGUUUAUCAGCUUCUUCUCUUGAAUAAUAAACGAGAUUGGGGUUAAAUCACAGCACUACAUAU
rnacentral:snoRNA from 1 species